rnacentral:rRNA from 1 species
AGACCGCGAGGUAGAGCAAAUCUCAAAAAAACAAUCUCAGUUCAGACUGCAGGCUGCAACUCGCCUGCACGAAGUCGGAAUUGCUAGUAAUCGUAGGUCAGCAUACUACGGUGAAUACGUUCCCGGGCCUUGUACACACCGCCCGUCAAACCAUGAGAGUUGGCAACACCCGAAGUCGGUAGUCUAACCGCAAGGAGGACGCCGCCGAAGGUGGGGUUGAUGAUUAGGGUUAAGUCGUAACAAGGUAGC